AGAGUUUGAUCAUGGCUCAGGACAAACGCUGGCGGAAUGUAUUAGGCAUGCAAGUCGCACGAGCCUUCGGGCUAGUGGCGGACGGGUGAGUAACACGUGGGUAACCUGCCUCGUAGUGGGGAAUAACUCGCCGAAAGGCGAGCUAAUACCGCAUAACACCCCCGGUGAGAUUCCGGGCGGUAAAAGCUCCGGCGCUAUGAGAGGGGCCCGCGGCCGAUUAGCUUGUUGGUGGGGUAAUGGCCUACCAAGGCGACGAUCGGUAGCUGGUCUGAGAGGAUGGUCAGCCACACGGGGACUGAGAUACGGCCCCGACUCCUACGGGAGGCAGCAGCUAAGAAUCUUGCGCAAUGGGCGAAAGCCUGACGCAGCAAUUCCGCGUGGGGGACGAAGGCCCUCGGGUCGUAAACCCCUUUUUGCGAGGGAAGAAGUUCUGACGGUACCUCGCGAAUAAGACACGGCUAACUACGUGCCAGCAGCCGCGGUAAUACGUAGGUGUCGAGCGUUGUCCGGAUUUAUUGGGCGUAAAGCGCCCGCAGGCGGCUUGCCAAGUUCGAGGUGAAAUCUCCCGGCUCAACUGGGAGGGUGCCUCGAAAACUGGCAGGCUUGAGUCAUGGAGAGGGAUGUGGAAUUCCCGGUGUAGUGGUGAAAUGCGUAGAUAUCGGGAGGAACACCAGUGGCGAAGGCGGCAUCCUGGCCAUGUACUGACGCUCAGGGGCGAAAGCGUGGGGAGCAAACCGGAUUAGAUACCCUAGUAGUCC
rnacentral:rRNA from 1 species